UGGAUAAUUGAUUUCAGAACCACGUCAUCAUAACUCACUGGUAUAUAAACUGGUAGGCCGCACCAAUAAGCUUAUUAAUUUCCCGAAGUCUUAUACGGAGUAGUCUGAUUUUCAGUUUUAUCUUUCAGUUAAAAUGGAUUGCCAAGUGCAUGGAUUCACCAAGAACCCUUUUUUUCUCGAGUUCACAACUGUACAACGGGUUGUCGAUUCGGGCUGCAGUUUUAGAACUGAUUUUAACGCGUGUCAGCUGAAGUGGAAUGUUCAAGAGUGUCAUCUGAAGUGGAAUGUGCAAGAAUGUCAAUAAUGUGUUCUAAAAUUCUCAACAUGAAGUAACUUGAACGUUUGAUUUCAGUUCAUGGAAUUCCAAAAUCUAUGUUUGCAACUAUUGCUAACGUUUCGGUUUGAUAUUAAGGGAAAACAUUUUCGAACAUGGAAAAACGACCCAUAAAAUAUGAGAAGAAAAAAACAACAUUUAUUCAGUAAAUUGGACUUUCAACUUCGGAAAAAAUACAACAAAAGAGUCAUUGGAACGUGGGAGAAAGACGGAAAAAAGUGAGAGAGAAUGUCAGAAUUGUUAUUCUGGACUAAUAUUCUGACGAAUAGAACACUGGAAAACAUCACCGGGGACAAUAAGGACAAAACGCAUGCAGUCAUUAUCAUUUUCGUCACACUUGAACCAUAAUAACAGUCUACUUUCGGACUUUUGGUUUUUGUAUUAUCGAUGUACUGUUAUUAUUACACAUGCAGAAAGAUCAGGGAAAAAUUGGUAUUUUGAAAAAAAAGAUUGAAAAAUAAAUAUAUCGUCAGAAUA